GACGAACCGAGCGAACGUUAUUCGGAAUCACUGGGCUUAAAGGGCGCGUAGGCGGGCGGUCAAGUCAGGGGUGAAAGCCCCCAGCUCAACUGGGGAAGUGCCUUUGAUACUGGUCGUCUCGAGGGGGAUAGGGGCGUGCGGAACUUCCGGUGGAGCGGUGAAAUGCGUAGAUAUUGGGAGGAACACCAGUGGCGAAGGCGGCUCACUGGACCGGAACUGACGCUGAGGCGCGAAAGCGUGGGGAGCAAACGGG
rnacentral:rRNA from 1 species